GAUGAACGCUGGCGGCGUGCCUAAUACAUGCAAGUCGAGCGAACGGACGAGAAGCUUGCUUCUCUGAUGUUAGCGGCGGACGGGUGAGUAACACGUGAAUAACCUACCUAUAAGACUGGGAUAACUUCGGGAAACCGGAGCUAAUACCGGAUAAUAUUUUGAACCGCAUGGUUCAAAAGUGAAAGACGGUCUUGCUGUCACUUAUAGAUGGAUCCGCGCUGCAUUAGCUAGUUGGUAAGGUAACGGCUUACCAAGGCAACGAUGCAUAGCCGACCUGAGAGGGUGAUCGGCCACACUGGAACUGAGACACGGUCCAUGCUCCUACGGGAGGCAGCAGUAGGGAAUCUUCCGCAAUGGGCGAAAGCCUGACGGAGCAACGCCGCGUGAGUGAUGAAGGUCUUCGGAUCGUAAAACUCUGUUAUGAGGGAAGAACAUAUGUGUAAGUAACUGUACACAUCUUGACGGUACCUAAUCAGAAAGCCACGGCUAACUACGUG
rnacentral:rRNA from 1 species